rnacentral:rRNA from 1 species
UACAGAGGGUGCAAGCGUUAAUCGGAAUUACUGGGCGUAAAGCGUGCGUAGACGGUUGCGUAAGUCAGAUGUGAAAGCCCCGGGCUCAACCUGGGAAUUGCAUUUGACGACUGCGUAGCUAGGGUGCGGAAGAGGGAAGCGGAAUUUCCGGUGUGAGCGGUGAAAUGCGUAGAUAUCGGAAGGAACACCAGUGGCGAAAGCGGCUUCCUGGUCCAGCACCGACGUUCAGGCACGAAAGCGUGGGGAGCAAACAG